UACGUAGGGGGCAAGCGUUUGUCCGGAUUUAUUGGGCGUAAAGAGCGUGUAGGCGGUCAGGUAGGUCCGUUGUGAAAACUUGAGGCUCAACCUCGAGACGCCGAUGGAAACCAUCUGACUAGAGUCCGGAAGAGGAGAGUGGAAUUCCUGGGUGUAGCGGUGAAAUGCGCAGAUAUCAGGAAGAACACCCGUGGCUAAGGCGGCUCUCUAGUACGGUACUGACGCUGAGACGCGAAAGCGUGGGGAGCGAACAGG
rnacentral:rRNA from 1 species